UACGUAGGGGGCGAGCGUUGUCCGGAUUUAUUGGGCGUAAAGAGCUCGUAGGCGGUUUGGCAAGUCGGGUGUGAAAACUCCGGGCUCAACUCGGAGACGCCACUCGAUACUGCUAUGACUCGAGUCCGGUAGGGGAGUGCGGAAUUCCUGGUGUAGCGGUGAAAUGCGCAGAUAUCAGGAGGAACACCGGUGGCGAAGGCAGAUCUCUGGGCCGUAACUGACGCUGAGGAGCGAAAGCAUGGGGAGCGAACAGG
rnacentral:rRNA from 1 species